rnacentral:rRNA from 1 species
CCUACGGGAGGCAGCAGUGAGGAAUAUUGGUCAAUGGCCGGAAGGCUGAACCAGCCAAGCCGCGUGAAGGACGAAGGUGCCAAGCAUUGUAAACUUCUUUUGUCAAGGGACAAAAUCAGGCUCGAGAGCCUGACCGAGGGUACUUGAAGAAAAAGCAUCGGCUAACUCCGUGCCAGCAGCCGCGGUAAUACGGAGGAUGCGAGCGUUAUCCGGAUUUACUGGGUGUAAAGGGGGCGCAGACGGCAAUGCAAGCCAGGAGUGAAAGUCCGGGGCCCAACCCCGGGACUGCUCUUGGAACUGCAUGGCUGGAGUACAGGAGGGGCAGGCGGAAUGCCUAGUGUAGCGGUGAAAUGCGUAGAUAUUAGGAGGAACACCGGUGGCGAAGGCGGCCUGCUGGACUGUGACUGACGUUGAGGCCCGAAGGCGUGGGGAGCAAACAGGAUUAGAUACCCUUGUAGUC